rnacentral:rRNA from 1 species
UACGUAGGGUGCGAGCGUUAAUCGGAAUUACUGGGCGUAAAGCGUGCGCAGGCGGUUUUGUAAGCCAGGUGUGAAAUCCCCGGGCUCAACCUGGGAAUCGGCAUUUGGGACUGGCAAGGCUGGAGUGCGGCAGAGGAGACGUGGAAUUCCUGGUGUAGCAGUGAAUGCGUAGAUAUCAGGAGGAAUACCGAUGGCGAAGGCAGGUCUCUGGGCUGACACGUGACGCGCAUG